rnacentral:rRNA from 2 species
CCGAAGCGGGGGAUAACAUUUGGAAACAAGUGCUAAUACCGCAUAAUUAGUUGGAACCGCAUGGUUCCAACUUGAAAGAUGGCUCUGCUAUCACUUUGGGAUGGACCCGCGCCGUAUUAGUUAGUUGGUGAGAUAAAAGCCCACCAAGACGAUGAUACGUAGCCGACCUGAGAGGGUAAUCGGCCACAUUGGGACUGAGACACGGCCCAGACUCCUACGGGAGGCAGCAGUAGGGAAUCUUCCACAAUGGACGAAAGUCUGAUGGAGCAACGCCGCGUGAGUGAUGAAGGUUUUCGGAUCGUAAAACUCUGUUGUUAAAGAAGAACAAGUGUUAGAGUAACUGUUAACACUUUGACGGUAUUUAACCAGAAAGCCACGGCUAACUACGUGCCAGCAGCCGCGGUAAUACGUAGGUGGCAAGCGUUGUCCGGAUUUAUUGGGCGUAAAGCGAGCGCAGGCGGUUUUGUAAGUCUGCUGUGAAAGCCCUCAGCUCAACUGAGGAAGUGCAGUGGAAACUACAAAACUUGAGUACAGAAGAGGAAAGUGGAACUCCAUGUGUAGCGGUGAAAUGCGUAGAUAUAUGGAAGAACACCAGUGGCGAAGGCGGCUUUCUGGUCUGUUACUGACGCUGAGGCUCGAAAGCAUGGGUAGCGAACAGGAUUAGAUACCCUGGUAGUCCAUGCCGUAAACGAUGAAUACUAGGUGUUGGAGGGUUUCCGCCCUUCAGUGCCGCAGCUAACGCAUUAAGUAUUCCGCCUGGGGAGUACGACCGCAAGGUUGAAACUCAAAGGAAUUGACGGGGGCCCGCACAAGUGGUGGAGCAUGUGGUUUAAUUCGAUGCUACGCGAAGAACCUUACCAGCUCUUGACAUCUUCUGCCAACCCAAGAGAUUGGGCGUUCCCUUCGGGGACAGAAUGACAGGUGGUGCAUGGUUGUCGUCAGCUCGUGUCGUGAGAUGUUGGGUUAAGUCCCGCAACGAGCGCAACCCUUAUUAUUAGUUGCCAGCAUUUAGUUGGGCACUCUAGUGAGACUGCCGGUGAUAAACCGGAGGAAGGUGGGGACGACGUCAAAUCAUCAUGCCCCUUAUGAGCUGGGCUACACACGUGCUACAAUGGAUGGUACAACGAGUCGCGAAACCGCGAGGUCAAGCUAAUCUCUUAAAGCCAUUCUCAGUUCGGAUUGCAGGCUGCAACUCGCCUGCAUGAAGUUGGAAUCACUAGUAAUCGUGGAUCAGCAUGCCACGGUGAAUACGUUCCCGGGCCUUGUACACACCGCCCGUCACACCAUGAGAGUUUGUAA